ACUCUGAUCCAGCCAUGCCGCGUGAAGGAUGAAGGCGCUACGCGUUGUAAACUUCUUUUCUCUUAGAAAAAACUAUUGGUUUCGUACCGAUACUGAUUGUACAAGAGGAAUAAGCAUCGGCUAACUUCGUGCCAGCAGCCGCGGUAAUACGAAGGAUGCAAGCGUUAUCCGGAUUCACUGGGUUUAAAGGGUGUGCAGGUGGGAUAAUAAGUCAGUGGUGAAAUCCCCCGACUCAAUCGGGGAACUGCCAUCGAUACUGUUAUUCUUGAGUGUGGUUGAGGCGGAUGGAAUAUGACAUGUAGCGGUGAAAUGCUUAGAUAUGUCAUAGAACACCGAUCGCGAAGGCAGUUCGCCAAACCAUUACUGACACUGAAACACGAAAGUGCGGGGAUCAAACAGGAUUAGAUACCCUGGUAGUCCGCACCGUAAACGAUGAUCACUCGUUGUUGGCGAUAUACAGUCAGCGACUAAGCGAAAGCAUUAAGUGAUCCACCUGGGAAGUACGACCGCAAGGUUGAAACUCAAAGGAAUUGACGGGGGCCCGCACAAGCGGAGGAGCAUGUGGUUUAAUUCGAUGGUACGCGAGGAACCUUACCUGGGCUUGAAAGACAGUUGACCGUCUCUGAAAGGAGGCU
rnacentral:rRNA from 1 species